UGGUAGUGGAAGUGAAAGCUGAACCUCUUCAAUGACUUGAUCUCGCCCGGGACAGUUGAUUAACAUCAGACUAGCUUGAUCCGUUUGACGCCGCUGACAGCUCGCACCACCAUUCCAACAUACACGUGGUUAACUUAGUGUUAACUUUGUACAAAACCUCAUUGAUUUACAAUGUUGCAAUUUCAGGUUGAACGUCCGGGUUAACUUGUGCAAAUAACCCUAUUUGGGUUCAUUUCAUAUUCCUGGGUAAUUUUCCUGAUUAUUUUUACCUUAUUGCCAAGUUAAUUUGACCACGACUUCCUGGUUCUGAUUUGGACUUCAAUGUUAAAAUUACCUUUAUUACAGUUUCAAUUAUGGCAUCUCUAUAGGGUAGUCUAGGGUAGUUGCCCAGAAAAUUUUUGUAGUUUUGAAGCUCCAUCGAUGACUGCGUUUCUAGUAUGUUCUGGGGAGAAUUCGUUAAAGAAUUGCGUCAUAUCGACUUGUGUAUUCAUGAUUAAACACACAAUUUGACUUGUAUCAUACUUAGUGUUGUUACCUUGUGAAGGAAAAGGAAA